GACGAGGGGUCCAAGCGUUGUUCGGAAUUAUUGGGCGUAAAGCGGGUGUAGGUGGCUAUCUAAGUCAGAAGUGAAAGCCCCAGGCUUAACCUGGGAAGUGCUUUUGAUACUGGUUAGCUUGAAUGUGGGAGAGGAUCGUGGAAUUCCAGGUGUAGUGGUGAAAUACGUAGAUAUCUGGAGGAACACCGGUGGCGAAGGCGGAUCUCUGGGCCAUUACUGACGCUGAGGAGCGAAAGCGUGGGGAGCGAACAGG
rnacentral:rRNA from 1 species